GUAUAUAACUUUUAACGGUGGAUCUCUUGGCUCGUGCAUCGAUGAAGAACGCAGCCAGCUGCGAUACGUAGUGUGAAUUGCAGAAUUUAGUGAAUCAUCGAAUCUUUGAACGCAAAUUGCGCUCUUGGUUAUACCGGGAGCAUGUCUGUCUGAGUGUUGGUAAACAAAACGUGAACG
rnacentral:rRNA from 1 species